CUCUUAUCCAGAGAGGCGGAGGGAAUUGGCCCUAUGAAGCCUCGGCAGCAGACUCCUUGCGAGAACUGUGCCAAAUCCAACAAGCGGAAGCUUGGAAGAUGAGAG
rnacentral:ncRNA from 17 species